rnacentral:rRNA from 1 species
ACGGGAGGCAGCAGUGGGGGAUAUUGCACAAUGGAGGAAACUCUGAUGCAGCAACGCCGCGUGAGGGAAGAAGGUUUUCGGAUUGUAAACCUCUGUUUUCGGUGAAGAAAGAAAUGACGGUAGCCGAAGAGGAAGCCACGGCUAACUACGUGCCAGCAGCCGCGGUAAUACGUAGGUGGCAAGCGUUGUCCGGAAUUACUGGGUGUAAAGGGUGCGCAGGCGGGACUGCAAGUUGGAUGUGAAAUACCGAGGCUUAUCCUCGGAGCUGCAUCCCAAACUGUGGUUCUUGAGUGGAGUAGAGGUAAGCGGAAUUCCGAGUGUAGCGGUGAAAUGCGUAGAUAUUCGGAGGAACCCCGGUGGCGAAGGCGGCUUACUGGGCUCUAACUGACGCUGAGGCACGAAAGUGUGGGUAGCAAACAGGAUUAGAUUCCCUGGUA